rnacentral:rRNA from 1 species
AUUGAACGCUGGCGGCAGGCUUAACACAUGCAAGUCGAGCGGGGUGAUGGUGCUUGCACUAUCACUUAGCGGCGGACGGGUGAGUAAUGCUUAGGAAUCUGCCUAUUAGUGGGGGACAACAUCUCGAAAGGGAUGCUAAUACCGCAUACGUCCUACGGGAGAAAGCAGGGGAUCACUUGUGACCUUGCGCUAAUAGAUGAGCCUAAGUCGGAUUAGCUAGUUGGUGGGGUAAAGGCCUACCAAGGCGACGAUCUGUAGCGGGUCUGAGAGGAUGAUCCGCCCCACUGGGACGGAGACACGGCCCAGCCUCCUACGGGAGGCAGAGGUGGGGAAUAUUGGACAAUGGGGGGAAGCCUGAUCCAGCCAUGCCGCGUGUGUGAAGAAGGCCUUAUGGUUGUAAAGCACUUGAAGCGAGGAGGAGGCUCUUUUGGUUAAUACCCAAGAUGAGUGGACGUUACUCGCAGAAUAAGCACCGGCUAACUCUGUGCCAGCCGCCGCCGUAA